AACCACCAAUCACUAGCUCUCUCUCCCGUCUGCUUUCCCCCAAAUCCCAUUCCGCUGCUCCUUUUCCAAUCACCAAACCCUAUCGAAGCCGCUGCUAUGGUAAGCGGUGGCGGCAGGCGGAUGAGUGAGAGGAAGAGGCAGAGGGUAGUUUUCUAAUUGGGGUCUUGAGAGAGAGAUUUUGGGUUUCUAUCUGGGGGUUUGACCAAUUGGGGGAUGGGGAUGGAGAAAGAGUCGGCGAAGAGAUGGAGAAGGGGGUGGCGACGCGGCAGCCGUGGAAGAGCGGUUGCGGCUGCAGUUGUUCAUGGCGAGAGAGGAGAUGGAGACCGAGAGAGUCGGGCGAGAUGUUGAGAGGGAGAGUCGACAGAUGCAGAUGAUGGUGGGGGUGAAGAACCGCUGGCGAAGCUCCGCCGGUCUUGCUGGAGGUGGUCGGCGGCUUGGGAGAGAGAAGAGAGAUUUCUGAGAGAGAGAGAGAGAGAGAGAGACGCUGGAUGUGGCCAGCCCUAGCUCGAGUUCGAUUCAGUUCCUCUUAGCACUCUUGCUCCUUCGGAUUCAGCAUGCUGCUCCACUCUGACUUCAGCUCGUCGUCUCUCCGCAAUUCUAACUAUUCACUUCCGAGGUAUUAUUUCAUCCUACUCAAUUUGUAAUUGUUGUUGAUUCCUGUUGUUUUUCGUGAUUCAUUAAUCCAUUGCUCAUCCUUGUUUUGAUUUAGCUUGAAGAAGAAAAAUUUUGCUUUUUGUUUGGAAUUUAUAUUCAGUGGAUGGUUGAAUGGCUUCCUACUUUGGUAUAUGAUGUUUGUUGUUUCAGGUUUUUGCAUUUUAAAUUGUGCAAAAAACUUCAUGUUAAAAAUUGAAUCAUUUUGCCAUUCCGUAUAUUAUUUUUCGGUUUUCUCCUUAAUUGAUUUUCUGCCAUUUAACGAUUUAUCAAAGACUAGGAUGCGUAACGUAGUUAACCAAAUACUCAUUAGUGUGGUUGUGAAUAUUGAAAUUGUGAGCAUUGAUGGGUUAAGAUUAUCUGGUAAUAGUAAGAGAUUAUCUUGAACAUACUUAUGUCAGAUAAGCCGUCAUUUAUUCUUUUGUUUUGUGGUUUAAGUUGGCCUUAGAGGUGUUAUAUCGAUUGACUAAGACUCGAAAACCUUUUGAUUUGAUGCAGAUUUAACUAUAAUUAUUGGAGCAGGUUUGGGACUUGGAGAUUUGAUAAUUUAUAAUUGUUUUUUGCUUAUUAAUGUUUCAUAUCCAACUGGCACUAGAAACCCCAGUAACACCAUAUCCGAAUAUGCAGAGAAAGUUGCCAAGAAUGUUCUUGGAGAGUUACUUUAUUGCUACUUUAACUUAGUUAUGAAUGAAGAGACAUGUUUCAUAUGGCCCAAUGAAGAUUUUGUGUUCGUAUAUUUAGGCUUCACCUCUUCAGAUACGCUUUCUUAUUAGCGUCCUAUAUACUAUAUGUUCUUCGCUUUUCCUAUACUCUUCUGUUGCAGUGUGCUAGACAAGGGUUUGCACUUGGUCUUACAAUGUUAGUUGGCAUGGUUCAUAGCAUUAAAUUAGAGUCCUUGUUAAAGCUAAUUACAACUUUGCUGGAGGUCUCUUCUUCCAUGAAGGGGGUCAGGUGAGUAUUGGUCCCUUCUCAUGAAGUCAGUAAUUGAGAUUUAUAUUUUAUUUAUGUGGAGCCUUUUAUUUAUAGGAGGUUAAAGACUGCUUACUGGGCCGUUUAUUUGCAUAUGGAGCUCUUGCAAAAUCGGGAAAGCUUACUGAAGAAUGGAUAUCAGAUAAUAGUAGUUUAUUCCUCUGUAAGUACUCUAUUAGUCUAUUAGAUCAUGCUGGGACAUAACUCGCAUAUUCUUCACAAAUUUACAUGUAACCAGUUUAUGUAUUAGUUUUAAGCUUUCCUGUGUAUCAUAUCUCCGUAUGAUUGUUCAAUUAUUGGUUUCCUACCUUGACUAGAUAUUGCCCUAUAUUUUUGUCAUGGUUUAGUUGCCUGAAGGUACUACUCGUAUUUGUUCUUAAUUUUAUUUUUUUUUUAUCACUGAUUAAGUGAUAUUAUUUCAAGUCUUUGCUGAUCUGCAUGUCUUGAAUAUUGCAGGAGUCUAGCUUCUGUCAGCCACGAGUACAUAGUGUAUGACCUGUUUUGGUUAGCCAUGCAAGAUGUUGAUUCAGCAUCAAGUCUAAUUUCGAGCAAGAAGCACAAAAGAAGUCGUAAGAGUACCCAUUCAAGUCAAAGUAUCACGAGGUAGCUCAGCUUUACAAGGGCAAAGACUUGAGUUUUUUUUGGUUGUGGUAGUUUUUUGUCAUUUUUAUUUUCUUUUGACUUUAUAUAGAACUAUUGUACUUAGCAUUUUGAUUAUCUUCGGAUGAUAAUUUUAAUACAAGUGUUAACUCAUUUGAAUGUUAGGA
rnacentral:lncRNA from 1 species